rnacentral:lncRNA from 1 species
CAUUGGUUAUACCCACGUGGGUGACUGAAAGAUGAAUGAGGUCAGUGGCGGUAACGCACCUCAUUUAUGAAAGUUGCCAAUCGCAAUAUAAAGUCAAAUGAAGAAAAAGCCUGGAAGGAGGAGGGAUGACUAGAAACGAUUCAGUUGACCGUUUUGUGUGUGGAUUAAUUGGUGAUGUAGAGGACCUCGUGCAUUUCAGGCUACCCUGCUGGAGAAGAUGGCGUCCAAUCGUCUUGAAUGGAGGCUUGGUGGUCCAGCUACACGCCAUCCUGCAGUGUCACGAGGACACAGAGCCAGGGUCUUCCACGGUUUCGAGAAGGUGCCUUCCUAUCCCCUGCACCCGGCCGUCUCGCUCAGGGAGCCGGAGAGCAGGAUGACCUUCAGAUGAUGAGGUCAAGGGGCUAUGCCAUGGUGAUGCUUCAGCUCAGAAAAUGGAGAGUAGUCCUGGAAGUGGAAUUAUUAGAAAGAACAUUCCCAUUCAAGUCUUAUGUUCUGUGA